UGCGGAGGGUGCAAGCGUUAUCCGGAUUCACUGGGUUUAAAGGGUGCGUAGGUGGGCAGGUAAGUCAGUGGUGAAAUCUCCGGGCUUAACCCGGAAACUGCCGUUGAUACUAUUUGUCUUGAAUAUUGUGGAGGUAAGCGGAAUAUGUCAUGUAGCGGUGAAAUGCUUAGAUAUGACAUAGAACACCAAUUGCGAAGGCAGCUUACUACACAACGAUUGACGCUGAGGCACGAAAGCGUGGGGAUCAAACAGG
rnacentral:rRNA from 1 species